GCCCCUCCCCCGCCCCUUCCCCGCCGUCCAGGACUCCUCAGCACGGUCCCCACGCCGGCCUAGAAGCUCAUCGCCAUAUUAAGAAAGGAAAAGGCCUGAGCUAAAAAUAAGACCAGAUGAGUCGGAGGUGUGCAUGACCAAGACUCUGCAGGGAAAGCUGAGCCUCAGACUGGUUAUAUACCGUCCAGCACAACACACAGUGGAGUCGGAAUUCGAAACGGGGCUCGUCAGUAUCCAAGGGCAAUGCCGACAUCUCUUAUUAAGCAUUCAUUGAGCACCUACAGCCCACAAAGCGUUGUGUGAAACACUGCAAGGGACGGAAAGGUGAGCAAAGUGUGUGAAUUCGUGGCAGAUGAGCUGGACGAACACGCCCGAGACCAUUGCAGAGGCGGGCAGGGCGAUGAGAGUGGGGUGGUAUGGCACGUUUGCUUUUUUUUCCCUGUAAAAGUCGCGAUAGAACAUCUUCGUAACAAGCGCACGCCGAUGUA